rnacentral:rRNA from 1 species
GAGCAUCAGCUUAAAACCCAAAGGACUUGACGGUGCUUUAGAUCCAUCUAGAGGAGCCUGUUCUGGAACCGAUACUCCCCGUUCAACCUCACCUUUCCUUGUCCUAUUCCGUCUAUAUACCGCCGUCGUCAGCUUACCCUUUGAAGAUCCUGUAGUGAGCACAAUCGGCACAGCCCAAAACGCCAGGUCGAGGUGUAGCGAAUGGAAAGGGAUAGAAAUGGGCUACAUUCAAUAAAACAUAAUGAACACGGAUGAUGUCCUGAAAAUGACAUCUGAAGGAGGAUUUAGCAGUAAGUAAAGAGUAGAGUGCUUUACUGAAACUCGGCUCUGAAGCGCGUACACACCGCCCGUCACUCUCUCCAAGCUUAUAAGAAAACAUUACUAAUAAAUAAGACCCGCAAAGGGGAGGCAAGUCGUAACAUGGUAAGCGUACCGGAAGGUGCGCUUGGCAUAACCUUUUCAGAGCAUAGCUUAACAGACUAAAGCAUCUCUCUUACACUGAGACGACACCCGUUUAAAUCGGGUUGCCCUGAAACCUCGUAGCUAGCCCCCAACCCCCUAAAACCAAUCAACCACCCUCAAUAACCCCAGACGCACUAAAAACGCAAAACAAACCAUUUUUCCCUCUCAGUAUAGGAGAUAGAAGAGAGACCCGGAGCGAUAGAGAAAGUACCGCAAGGGAAAGCUGAAAGAGA